rnacentral:pre_miRNA from 1 species
CUUUUACUCCCUUCGUCUCAAAAUAAGUGUCUCAAGCUUAAUACAAUUUUGUACUAAAGUUAGACAAAGUUGAGACACUUAUUUUGGGACGGAGGGAGUAUUAG